UGUCGCAAGCCCAGACCGGCAACCCUCUGGGUAACCAGGUUUCCCAGAGUCUAAGCAGAGAGGUCCAUAACACAUGGAGAGAAGUGAAGUCCCCUGAGGAUGUGAGGGAUGGCUCACAGUGAAGUUCCCUCAUUAGUAUCUCCCUGCUACACUCCUAGCUCUCUCCUGCACUCUACCUGAGUGUGAGAGAUGGCCUGCAGUGCAGUUCCCACAGGCCUAAGUUUCCUUCCUCCUGAAAGCCUUGAGUUCAGUUUGCAUUUUCCCCAAAAGUUUCUAUUUCUCCAGCACCAGGUCAGCAUGGGUGGGGGAGCUUGGUUGCCUGGUUGCUCCUAGCUCCUAGUGCACAUGUGCAUCUAGUCCAAACACGGGCAUAUUUGCUUCUAUUGGGUAUUAGUUGCUACUUUUAGAAUGUACACCCUGAGUACCCAGUCAAAGGAGAAAGGGGUAAGAGAGUGAGAGGGGGCAUCGCGUUAGGGGAUAAAAAGCCCAGGGUACAGCUCCCAACUCAUACUCUCCUGGCUGGCAAUGGUGACUAGUGGCGGUACCCUUUCUCAUGAGAAAGCAAUAAACUCCUUUCUGCUUUCAAGGUAUCUUUCAAGUCUUUGUUUUUAUUUUGAGUGGGUGGUCUCUGUCCCACACAGUUGGGGGCUCUCUGGGAUCCCCUUUACUUGGGAAAGGGCCUCCCAGCCAGUCCUAGGACAGGCCCCCACUGGCCACUUACCAGUAGUCUGUGGAGUGGUUUGGGAGUUUCCUUUCCCUUUUAAGGAAUGGACCCGAAGAAAGACAGAUACCUGCAAGCAGAAACAAAAGCAAACAGAGUUCCAACGGUGCUAGCAAAGACAGUAGACAGAGAGAAGAGAGAGAACUGAGUUUUGGACGAUCACAUAAGUUGUGCGCACAUAACCCAGACGAAAGAUCCAGGGAGCCCUGAGAUACUUUUUGGAGCAAGAUCUGCAUGGUCAGUAUGGAGUGUGUCGCCUGCCCUUUUAAAGUGCUACCUAUGGUGUGGAGAGGAAAUUGCUUCAAUGGGCGCUUCAUAAAUGCUGCUUGACUUAACUUCACAGUUGAACUAACUACCUGUGCUGCUAGGAUCCAAGAAGAGAGAACCAGUGACAACAGGAGUGUGAUAUCUUGACUUGUGAGUGAAUUAGAUUCAAGUGAGACAGAACUGUGCAAAGUCUUCAGCUCCACUCUCUGCUCCAGAGUUGUCAGAGUCCAGGGCAAGAGACAGGUCAGCACCGCUGGAGGUGGCCCCAGCUGCAGUGGGAAACCCUCGGAAUUUCCAGCCGGAAUCGAAGGUGCCCAGUAAGUGAGGGUAGGCUUUGACAGUUAAAACAAGUGAUAUCUGAAAGCAAUAACAUCAGUCAUUGACAUCUUUGUUCUAAUUAAGCAGUUCCUGAGCCCAAAAUCUUGCCAGUUAUGCAAAAUUUGCUGAAUGAGAAGGGACAAAUGUAUAAUACAAUGUAGGGAUAAUGUAAUCUAAACUGGGAUUUUGUCU